rnacentral:RNase_P_RNA from 1 species
AAAGUCAACUAGAUAAUCGCUGAUAUAAUUAUUAUCAGAGGAAAGUCCGGGCCUCAUAGAACAAGAUGCCAGAUAACAUCUGGGAAGCGUAAGCUUACGACUAGUGCAACAGAAAAUAACCGCCAUUUCAAUGGUAAGGGUGAAAAGGUGCGGUAAAAGCGCACCGCAAAUUUUCAAAUAAAAUUUGGCCGUGUAAACUCCAUCUGAGGCAAGACCAAAUAGAAAUUUAAAUUGUUCGUUUGUAUAUUUCGGGUAGGUCGCACGAAUAAAUACGCGAGUAUUUAUCUAGAUAAAUGAUUAUCCAUGACAGAACCCGGCUUAAAAGUUGACUUUAUUG